AUACCUUUCUCGGCCUUUUGGCUAAGAUCAAGUGUAGUAUCUGUUCUUAUCAGUUUAAUAUCUGAUAUGUGGGUCAAUGAUCCACACGGUAUUAAAUUAAUUUCUUUACGGGGGAGAGUCCAUUACAAUAGCUUGCUAUUGGGGCUCUCAAGUGUCCCAAGCGUUGCACUAUUGCAUGGGCCUGGUGCACCCCAC
rnacentral:snRNA from 2 species